GUGGGGAAUAUUGGACAAUGGGCGCAAGCCUGAUCCAGCCAUGCCGCGUGAGUGAUGAAGGCCCUAGGGUUGUAAAGCUCUUUCACCGAUGAAGAUAAUGACGGUAGUCGGAGAAGAAGCCCCGGCUAACUUCGUGCCAGCAGUCGCGGUAAUACGAAGGGGGCUAGCGUUGUUCGGAAUUACUGGGCGUAAAGCGCACGUAGGCGGAUAUUUAAGUCAGGGGUGAAAUCCCAGAGCUCAACUCUGGAACUGCCUUUGAUACUGGGUAUCUCGAGUAUGGAAGAGGUGAGUGGAAUUCCGAGUGUAGAGGUGAAAUUCGUAGAUAUUCGGAGGAACACCAGUGGCGAAGGCGGCUCACUGGUCCAUUACUGACGCUGAGGUGCGAAAGCGUGGGGAGCAAACAGGAUUAGAAACCCGGGUAGUCC
rnacentral:rRNA from 1 species